UGUCUCGUUUAGUGUUCUUUUCUCUCUUUUCUUCUCUCUUCAAGGCUAAAUGGUUAGUGAAGCCAUUGUGUUAUGUUAGUGAAUUAUUCAGUGAGCUAUCUUGUGAAGACAUAGCGAGAUUGUUAGAAAUAUGUAACUCAUUUAUAUAUAGUAAUUAUCAAAAUAUACUAAAAGGAAAGAUUCCAACAGAAGAUUCCCUCCCUGAUAGUUCAUGGAGUACAUUAAAGGCAAUAUUAAGACAAAAUAUUAAUAAAUUUGGAAACAUUUACUAUAGAUUUGUAUCUAGAGACACAUUACUACUAUUUACAUUUUAUAGCUAUAGCUACAUAAUAAAA